UACGUAGGGUGCAAGCGUUAACCGGAAUUACUGGGCGUAAAGCGGGCGCAGGCGGUUUUGUAAGUCUGACGUGAAAUCCCCGGGCUCAACCUGGGAAUUGCGUUGGAGACUGCAAGGCUAGAAUCUGGCAGAGGGGGGUAGAAUUCUACGUGUAGCAGUGAAAUGCGUAGAGAUGUGGAGGAACACCGAUGGCGAAGGCAGCCCCCUGGGUCAAGAUUGACGCUCAUGCACGAAAGCGUGGGGAGCAAACAGG
rnacentral:rRNA from 1 species